rnacentral:rRNA from 1 species
UACGUAGGGGGCUAGCGUUGUCCGGAUUUAUUGGGCGUAAAGAGCGUGUAGGCGGCCAGGUAGGUCUGCUGUGAAAACUCGAGGCUCAACCUCGAGACGUCGGCGGAAACCAUCUGGCUAGAGUCCGGAAGAGGAGAGUGGAAUUCCUGGUGUAGCGGUGAAAUGCGCAGAUAUCGGGAGGAACACCAAUGGCGAAGGCAGCUCGCUGGGACGUUACUGACGCUGAGACGCGAAAGCGUGGGGAGCAAACAGG